rnacentral:rRNA from 1 species
CCUACGGGGGGCUGCAGUGGGGAAUAUUGCACAAUGGGCGCAAGCCUGAUGCAGCCAUGCCGCGUGUGUGAAGAAGGCCUUCGGGUUGUAAAGCACUUUCAGCGGGGAGGAAGGCGGUGAGGUUAAUAACCUCAUCGAUUGACGUUACCCGCAGAAGAAGCACCGGCUAACUCCGUGCCAGCAGCCGCGGUAAUACGGAGGGUGCAAGCGUUAAUCGGAAUUACUGGGCGUAAAGCGCACGCAGGCGGUCUGUCAAGUCGGAUGUGAAAUCCCCGGGCUCAACCUGGGAACUGCAUUCGAAACUGGCAGGGUAGAGUCUUGUAGAGGGGGGUAGAAUUCCAGGUGUAGCGGGGAAAUGCGUAGAGAUCUGGAGGAAUACCGGUGGCGAAGGCGGCCCCCUGGACAAAGACUGACGCGCAGGUGCGAAAGCGUGGGGAGCAAACAGGAUUAGAUACCCCGGUAGUC